rnacentral:rRNA from 1 species
UUAGCAUGGAAUAAUAAAAUAGGACGUGUGGUUCUAUUUUGUUGGUUUCUAGGACCGCCGUAAUGAUUAAUAGGGACAGUCGGGGGCAUCAGUAUUCAAUUGUCAGAGGUGAAAUUCUUGGAUUUAUUGAAGACUAACUACUGCGAAAGCAUUUGCCAAGGAUGUUUUCAUUAAUCAGGAACGAAAGUUAGGGGAUCGAAGACGAUCAGAUACCGUCGUAGUCUUAACCAUAAACUAUGCCGACUAGGGAUCGGACGGUGUUAUUUUUUGACCCGUUCGGCACCUUACGAGAAAUCAAAGUGCUUGGGCUCCAGGGGGAGUAUGGUCGCAAGGCUGAAACUUAAAGAAAUUGACGGAAGGGCACCACCAGGGGUGGAGCCUGCGGCUUAAUUUGACUCAACACGGGGAAACUCACCAGGUCCAGACACAAUGAGGAUUGACAGAUUGAGAGCUCUUUCUUGAUUUUGUGGGUGGUGGUGCAUGGCCGUUCUUAGUUGGUGGAGUGAUUUGUCUGCUUAAUUGCGGUAACGAACGAGACCUUAACCUGCUAAAUAGCCCGUAUUGCUUUGGCAGUACGCUGGCUUCUUAGAGGGACUAUCGGCUCAAGCCGAUGGAAGUUUGAGGCAAUAACAGGUCUGUGAUGCCUUUAGAUGUUCCGGGCCGCACGCGCGCUACACUGACGGAGCCAGCGAGUACUUCCUUGUCCGAAAGGUCCGGGUAAUCUUGUUAAACUCCGUCGCGCUGGGGAUAAGAGCAUUGCAAU